CAGAUGUCGGAUCGUCCAUGUUCGUCCACGUCUUUGGGGCGUACUUUGGUUUGGCUGUUAGUUUCGUUUUAUAUCGCGGCACGGCUUAUUGCGCUGACAGACAGUCCAGGAAAGACGAAGCCAACAGUGACUCAAUUGGCGAAACCCUUUCCACUGCUGUUGGCACUAUGUUUCUGUGGCUUUUGUGGCCUAGUUUCAACGCGUGUUUGGCAAAAGGUGAUGCCAAGCAAUUUCGAGCCAUCAUCAACACCUAUUAUUCACUAUCGGGAAGUUGCGUGACAGCGUUUGCCGUCUCGUCUCUUGUUUUCAACUGCUUCGUGUGCGCUGAAGAUAACAGACGACGCAGUUUUAACAUGGCAAAUAUAUUACUAGCCUACUUAAAAGACGGAUGAAAUUUGGUUAGGAUAAUUGAAUGCCGAUAUACAGGUUGUUUUUCAAAACUCGACCCUUGUUGGUGGAGUUGUGAUCGGUACAUCUGCCGAUAUGAUGAUCAACAUAUGGGGAGCCAUGAUAAUUGGUGGUUUAGCUGGAGCAGGAUCUAUAUUCAUAAAUCGUUUUUCAACCACGAAAGCUGUUCACCGUAUAAUUGGAAUACGCAACGCAUGGGGAGUAAUCUCUUUGCACGGAAUCCCAGGUAUUGUAGCUGGUUUUGUGGGCGCAAUUGUAUCGGCCGCUGCGACUAAGGAAGAUUAUGGUUUCAGGUUCUAGAUCUAGAUAACAAAUAAUUUUGCUGGGUGUUGAUUUGAAGAAGAAAUUUUCUUGGGUCACGACAGCCUUUACCGACAGUUUUCAGCACGAUCUCCACUCAAUAGUUCCAGCGAGUUAUCAAAAAUUCAGUACUACGAUUUAAAAAUUGACCCUGGUCGAGAAAGAACAGCUUUACAACAAGCAGGAUUUCAGAUUGUUACACUUAUCGUGACCCUAGUUAUCGCAAUUAUAGGAGGCCUUGUAACAGGGACGAUUCUUUCGUUGUCUUUCUUCCGUCAACCGUAUGAAGAAAAUGACUCGCAACCUGAUCAGCUAACGCUUGUUGUUGACCAGUUAUUGCUCUCUGAAAGACGUUUAAACGUUAUUAAUGCAACCAACUAAACUAGUGCAAUCGUUAUUUUGACCGAGAAUUUGUCGUCCACUUGUUAACUGGUAAAGCCGUUUGAGCUGGUAAAACACUAAAAUUGAUAAAGCAAAUGCUGACGUUUGGUUUUAUUACUUUUCAAAGCGAAACUUUGCGUUUCUUUUUCUCUCCUAAGUUUCAGACAAGGAAUACAAAGUGUAAUAUGUAAAAAUAACAAAUAUUAAUUUAAAAAUUCAUUAUAAUAGAGAAACUGAGAAAGUAACUGACGCGUACCCCCCACCUACCCCUGGUUUGUGAACGCACUCCGGAGGAAUCCGCCAUGUUUCCACCUUGUUCGUGUUUCUCUUGAGUGAUUCGCAUAGGGGGGAUUCCUUAUGAAAACGACCAAAACCUGUGGCGACCAUCUCACGGAUUUGAUCGCCACUAAC